rnacentral:rRNA from 1 species
UGGGGGAAUUUUGGACAAUGGGGGAAACCCUGAUCCAGCCAUCCCGCGUGUGCGAUGAAGGCCUUCGGGUUGUAAAGCACUUUUGGCAGGAAAGAAACGUCGCGGGUUAAUACCCCGCGAAACUGACGGUACCUGCAGAAUAAGCACCGGCUAACUACGUGCCAGCAGCCGCGGUAAUACGUAGGGUGCAAGCGUUAAUCGGAAUUACUGGGCGUAAAGCGUGCGCAGGCGGUUCGGAAAGAAAGAUGUGAAAUCCCAGAGCUUAACUUUGGAACUGCAUUUUUAACUACCGGGCUAGAGUGUGUCAGAGGGAGGUGGAAUUCCGCGUGUAGCAGUGAAAUGCGUAGAUAUGCGGAGGAACACCGAUGGCGAAGGCAGCCUCCUGGGAUAACACUGACGCUCAUGCACGAAAGCGUGGGGAGCAAACAGGAUUAGAUACCCUGGUAGUCCACGCCCUAAACGAUGUCAACUAGCUGUUGGGGGCCUUUCGGGGCCUUUGGUAGUGCGCAGCUAACGCGUGAAGUUGACCGCCUGGGGAGUACGGUCGCAAGAUU